UACAGAGGUGGCAAGCGUUGUUCGGAAUUACUGGGCGUAAAGGGCGCGUAGGCGGCCCGUCAAGUCCCGUGUGAAAGCCCCCGGCUCAACCGGGGAACGGCGCGGGAAACUAGCAGGCUUGAGUUCGGGAGAGGGAAGCGGAAUUCCAGGUGUAGCGGUGAAAUGCGUAGAUAUCGGGAGGAACACCAGUGGCGAAGGCGGUUACCUGGAGCUUUGCUGACGCUGAUGCGCGAAAGCGUGGGGAGCGAUCCGG
rnacentral:rRNA from 1 species